UGGGGAAUUUUCCGCAAUGGGCGAAAGCCUGACGGAGCAAUACCGCGUGAGGGAGGAAGGCUCUUGGGUCGUAAACCUCUUUUCUCAGGGAAGAAGAAAGUGACGGUACCUGAGGAAUCAGCCUCGGCUAACUCCGUGCCAGCAGCCGCGGUAAUACGGAGGAGGCAAGCGUUAUCCGGAAUUAUUGGGCGUAAAGCGUCCGUAGGUGGCUCUUCAAGUCUGCUGUUAAAGAGUGGGGCUUAACCCUGCCAAGGCAGUGGAAACUGAAAGGCUAGAGAGCCGUAGGGGUAGAGGGAAUUCCCGGUGUAGCGGUGAAAUGCGUAGAGAUCGGGAAGAACAUCGGUGGCGAAAGCGCUCUACUGGACGGUAUCUGACACUGAGGGACGAAAGCUAGGGGAGC
rnacentral:rRNA from 1 species